rnacentral:rRNA from 1 species
GACGAACGCUGGCGGCGUGCCUAAUACAUGCGAGUCCACCGAAGCAGUGGUAACAAUAUCGCUGUGGAGGUGGCGCACGGGGGAGUAACACGUAGGUAAUCUGCCUUCAGGUCUGGCAUAACUCCGGGAAACCGGGGCUAAUAGCAGAUGAUGCUGCGGCCCGACAUCGAGACCGUUGUUAAAGCUAUGGCGCCUGAAGAUGAGCCUGCGUCUGAUUAGCUAGUUGGCGGGCGAACGGCCCACCACGGCAACGACCAGUAGCUGGUCUGAGGGGAUAAACAGCAACACAGAAACGGAGACGCGUUCCAGACUACUACGGGAUGCAGAAUUAUGGAAAAUUGCUCAAUGGGAGAAAUCCGAAAGCAGCAUCGCCGCGGAAGGGACGAAGGUCUUUUACUUGUAAAGCUCUGUAGGGAGAGAAGAAAAUCCCAAUCUUUGGGACAUGAUGGUAUCUCAAAAGUAAGCCCCGGCUAACUACGUG